AAGAUCUUCUGAUAUACUACCAAGUUGGCCUUUUAAUUUCAUUCUCAUUUGUACUUGGCAGUCUUGAACAUCUCUUCUAUCGUAGAGUAGACCUUACUCUACUUUUUCUCUUGUUCAGCUCUAUGUUCAUCUCUUAUGAUAAUCCUUCUCUUAUAUUGUCGUUUAGUGCUCAUCAUCAUCAUUUUAUUUUUUAAAUGAUAGUUCCUUUUAUAGCUCAUUUGAAAUCUUCCUAUUGAGAAGUGUCCGUUGGAACAUUAAAUUCUCAGAUACUUCGAUAUCUUUGAUGUUAACUUUCUGGAGCUUUGUAUCAGGGUACUUUCUGACUUAUGACUUGUCACAUCAAU
rnacentral:lncRNA from 1 species